rnacentral:lncRNA from 1 species
GGGUGGGAGGACAUAGGAAGGUGUGUUGGGGGUGUAGGACAAGAGUACAAGUGAAGGUGUGGUGGGUGGGAGGACAUAGGAAGGUGUGUUGGGGGUGUAGGACAAGAGUACAAGUGAAGAUGUGGUGGGUGGAAGGUGUGGGUGGAAGGUGUGUUGGGUGUGUAGGACAAGAGUACAAGUGAAGGUGUGGUGGGUGGGAGGACAUAGGAAGGUGUGUUGGGGGUGUAGGACAAGAGUACAAGUGAAGAUGUGGUGGGUGGGAGGACAUAGGAAGGUGUGUUGGGGGUGUAGGACAAGAGUACAAGUGAAGAUGUGGUGGGUGGAAGGUGUGUUGGGGGUGUAGGACAAGAGUACAAGUGAAGAUGUGGUGGGUGGGAGGACAUAGGAAGGUGUGUUGGGGGUGUAGGACAAGAGUACAAGUGAAGAUGUGGUGGGUGGGAGGACAUAGGAAGGUGUGUUGGGGGUGUAGGACAAGAGUACAAGUGAAGAUGUGGUGGGUGGAAGGUGUGUUGGGGGUGUAGGACAAGAGUACAAGUGAAGAUGUGGUGGGUGGGAGGACAUAGGAAGGUGUGUUGGGGGUGUAGGACAAGAGUACAAGUGAAGAUGUGGUGG